GAUGAACGCUAGCGGGAGGCCUAACACAUGCAAGCCGAGCGGUAUUGUUUCUUCGGAAAUGAGAGAGCGGCGUACGGGUGCGUAACACGUGUGCAACCUGCCUUUAUCUGGGGGAUAGCCUUUCGAAAGGAAGAUUAAUACUCCAUAAUAUAUUGAACGGCAUCGUUUAAUAUUGAAGCUACGGCGGAUAGAGAUGGGCACGCGCAAGAUUAGCUAGUUGGUGAGGUAACGGCUCACCAAGGCGAUGAUCCUUAGGGGGCCUGAGAGGGUGAUGCCCCACACUGGUACUGAGACACGGACCAGACUCCUACGGGAGGCAGCAGUGAGGAAUAUUGGUCAAUGGGUGCAAGCCUGAACCCGCCAUCCCGCGUGAAGGACGACUGCCCUAUGGGUUGUAAACUUCUUUUGUAUAGGGAUAAACCUACCCUCGUGAGGGUAGCUGAAGGUACUAUACGAAUAAGCACCGGCUAACUCCGUGCCAGCCGCCGCCGUAA
rnacentral:rRNA from 1 species